rnacentral:lncRNA from 1 species
AUUAUAGUUGGCUUACAGUGUUCUGUCAAUUUUCCACUGUACAGCAAAAUGACCCAGUCACACAUACAUUCUUUUUCUCACAUUAUCCUCCAUCAUGUUCCAUCACUAGUGACUAGGUAUAGUUCACAGUGCUACACAGCAGGAUCUCAUUGUUUAUCCAUUCCAAAUGCAAUAGUUUGCAUUUAUUGACCCCGGACUCCCUGUCCAUCCCACUCCCUCUCCCUCCCCCUUGGCAACCACAAGUCCAUUCUCCAAGUCCAUGAGUUUCUUUUCUGUAGAAAGGUUCAUUUGUGCCAUAAAUUAGAUUCCAGCUGUUGAUUGGGAAGAUGGCCAUCUACACAUCCAUCUGGAUCUGCCUCGGUCCUUCACUGGCCUCUUGUUCCUGAUGCAACUUUGCCCACCUGGUGUUUAGCACUGGACAGCACUCAGCACAUGAGUCUGAAUGCUCCCUCAGUCCCCACUCCUUCCUGUGGCACUGAUGACACUGGAGGUCAGCUACACCUUCCCCUCAUCCAUCCUUCUUCUAUCUGCUUCCCUUGUCACCUCCAUGUGACCAGGCUCCCCUACUCCCUCUCUUAGAUGAAUUCUGUUCCACACUGUGGUCCCAGGGAAGUUAGCUGAUGCCCUUCCACACUAUUUCAGAACUGAAAAAAAAAAAAAUUUUGGCUGACAUCAGAGCAGAAAACACUCACUUUGUCCUCAGAUCCCUACAUCCCUCCCACCCUAGGGGAUUGGGAGAGUAGACAGUGGUAGGGGACUGGAACAAAACAACAUCUAAGUUUCUUCUAUUCCCAUCCAACUCUCCUCCUUCUCUCCAGCUUGGAGGCUGUUUCCUAGAGUAGCAGGAAAGAGGGGUAAAGACAACCAGGUCAUGCCUCCUUGCCUCUCCUUGCAAGAUAUCAAGCACUGAUUUUUUAUUAUCUAGGCCUGGUUUGAAACUUCCCUCCCAGUGAGGGUCCAGGACAGAAAAUAGAAAAAAAGAAUAUAAUUAAUAUCUCAAAGUAAAAUGAUGCCACACAAUCCUGCCUUUUGCUUCCAGGAAGAUAACCCCAAUUCCUUAUUUCCCUAAACUCUAACUUGUCCAUAACAAUCUCCCUUCUUAAUAACCCUUUAGCAGCUACUGUGUGCUCGCCAGACCACUGGUUCCCGUACCAACAACUCAUUUUCCCCUCAUAGUUACAAUGUGCUCAUCCACAUCUCUCCUUGUUAAACAGUAUGCCUUUGGCACUCUCUCCAGACAAUCUCACUGUCUGUACAUUAAGAGGUCCAUUUUAGGAGUGCCCGUCGUGGCUCUGUGGAAACGAAUCUGACUAGUAUCCAUGAGGACGCAGGUUCUAUCCCUGGGCUCACUCAGGGGGUUAAGGAUCUGGUACUGCUGUGUGUUGUGCAGGUCACAGACUCAGCUUGGAUCCAGCAUUGCUGUGGUGUAGGCCAGCAGCUACAGCUC